rnacentral:lncRNA from 1 species
UUUGCAUAAAAAUGAAGGUAUAUAUUCUCAUAAAAAAAAUAAAAACACGGAUAGUUUGAACUUUGAUCACCAAUAGAAAAACAGAAUAUGUAUCAUAUUUUAUAGACUUAAUUGUAUAUUUAGUCCCUUAUUUUUAUUUUAGGUUUCAAUUUGGUCUCUUAUGUUUAAAAAGUUUCAAAUUGGUCCCUUAAUUAUGUUAUUGAUCUCAAAAUAAGUUGGUCAUUUUCGUUAAGUUUUGAGUUAAUUUUUUCUAACUUUUUGUUAAAUUUUGAGUUAAUUUCUUAUAAAAAUUUCACAUAGUACUCUCCUAAAUGAUCCACGUAUGCAAAUUCAUUAGACAAGUUGACGAUUUAAACAAAAAUUUGGCGAAAAUGACCAACUUAAAACUUUUAAAAUAUAAGGGACCAAAUUAAAACAUAAAAUAAAUAUAAGGGACCAAAUAUACAAUUAAACCUAUUUUAUACAUAACUUAUACAAUACUCAAUAUAGGUUGAAAUAGGUUGAAGUGUUAAUAGAUCCUAGUGAUAAAAAAUGCAACUAUUUUUUAGAGAUAUACAAUAACCCUAUUUAUUAAUCAUAUCUUAGCGGCACUUGGUAUUUUCUAUCCCUCGAUAUAUUGGUUGGGAUAGAAAUAGCCUGAUAGGAUUAGAAAUCCCAUUUUCUUUUUCUUUUUUCCUUUAUACUCGAUCCCUCUAUAUAUAUUCAACCUUUGUGAAUAGACUUUCUUCUCCUCUAUGAUUUAAAAUAAUGAUAUUUUAAAGAAUUUGACUUUUAUAUAACAUAUUAUGCAGCUCUAUU